rnacentral:rRNA from 1 species
GAUGAACGCUGGCGGCGUGCCUAAUACAUGCAAGUCGAGCGAACAGAUAAGGAGCUUGCUCCUUUGAAGUUAGCGGCGGACGGGUGAGUAACACGUGGGUAACCUACCUAUAAGACUGGGAUAACUUCGGGAAACCGGAGCUAAUACCGGAUAACAUUUAGAACCGCAUGGUUCUAAAGUGAAAGAUGGUUUUGCUAUCACUUAUAGAUGGACCCGCGCCGUAUUAGCUAGUUGGUAAGGUAACGGCUUACCAAGGCGACGAUACGUAGCCGACCUGAGAGGGUGAUCGGCCACACUGGAACUGAGACACGGUCCAGACUCCUACGGGAGGCAGCAGUAGGGAAUCUUCCGCAAUGGGCGAAAGCCUGACGGAGCAACGCCGCGUGAGUGAUGAAGGGUUUCGGCUCGUAAAACUCUGUUAUUAGGGAAGAACAAAUGUGUAAGUAACUGUGCACAUCUUGACGGUACCUAAUCAGAAAGCCACGGCUAACUACGUGCCAGCAGCCGCGGUAAUACGUAGGUGGCAAGCGUUAUCCGGAAUUAUUGGGCGUAAAGCGCGCGUAGGCGGUUUCUUAAGUCUGAUGUGAAAGCCCACGGCUCAACCGUGGAGGGUCAUUGGAAACUGGGAAACUUGAGUGCCAGAAGAAGGAAAGUGGAAUUCCAUGUGUAGCGGUGAAAUGCGCAGAGAUAUGGAGGAACACCAGUGGCGAAGGCGACUUUCUGGUCUGUAACUGAACGCUGAUGUGCGGAAAGCGUGGGGAUCAAACAGGAUUAGAUACCCUGGUAGUCCACGCCGUAAACGAUGAGUGCUAAGUGUUAGGGGGGUUUCCGCCCCUUAGUGCUGCAGCUAACGCAUUAAGCACUCCGCAUGGGGAGUACGACCGCAAGGUUGAAACUCAAAGGAAUUGACGGGGACCCGCACAAGCGGUGGAGCAUGUGGUUUAAUUCGAAGCAACGCGAAGAACCUUACCAAAUCUUGACAUCCUUUGAAAACUCUAGAGAUAGAGCCUUCCCCUUCGGGGGACAAAGUGACAGGUGGUGCAUGGUUGUCGUCAGCUCGUGUCGUGAGAUGUUGGGUUAAGUCCCGCAACGAGCGCAACCCUUAAGCUUAGUUGCCAUCAUUAAGUUGGGCACUCUAGGUUGACUGCCGGUGACAAACCGGAGGAAGGUGGGGAUGACGUCAAAUCAUCAUGCCCCUUAUGAUUUGGGCUACACACGUGCUACAAUGGACAAUACAAAGGGCAGCUAAACCGCGAGGUCAUGCAAAUCCCAUAAAGUUGUUCUCAGUUCGGAUUGUAGUCUGCAACUCGACUACAUGAAGCUGGAAUCGCUAGUAAUCGUAGAUCAGCAUGCUACGGUGAAUACGUUCCCGGGUCU